CAGCAGGGAAGAAGCGAAAGUGACGGUACCUGCAGAAGAAGCGCCGGCUAACUACGUGCCAGCAGCCGCGGUAAUACGUAGGGCGCAAGCGUUGUCCGGAAUUAUUGGGCGUAAAGAGCUCGUAGGCGGCUUGUCACGUCGGGUGUGAAAGCCCGGGGCUUAACCCCGGGUCUGCAUUCGAUACGGGCUAGCUAGAGUGUGGUAGGGGAGAUCGGAAUUCCUGGUGUAGCGGUGAAAUGCGCAGAUAUCAGGAGGAACACCGGUGGCGAAGGCGGAUCUCUGGGCCAUUACUGACGCUGAGGAGCGAAAGCGUGGGGAGCGAACAGGAUUAGAUACCCUGGUAGUCCACGCCGUAAACGGUGGGAACUAGGUGUUGGCGACAUUCCACGUCGUCGGUGCCGCAGCUAACGCAUUAAGUUCCCCGCCUGGGGAGUACGGCCGCAAGGCUAAAACUCAAAGGAAUUGACGGGGGGCCCGCACAAGCAGCGGGAGCAUGUGGCUUAAUUCGACGCAACGCGAAGAACCUUACCAAGGCUUGACAUACACCGGAAAAGCAUUAGAAGAUAGUGCCCCCCCUUGUGGUCGGUGUACA
rnacentral:rRNA from 1 species